rnacentral:lncRNA from 1 species
GGAAGACGGUCUCCACUGGGGGCUGUGAAGGGUCAGCCCAACGUGUCGUCCAAAGAGAGAAUCUGGCCAUCUCUCUGAGCCACGCACAGGGCUGCAGACGCCCGCUGCCGCUGUCCCCACAUGGCCACACGACCGUCCCCACUCAGCCACAGCCCCUCCGGGCCGCUUGGAGGCCUCUCACCGCACUCUGUGGGCCUCUGACAUUUCGUUGCCUACCUCUGUGGCCUUUCCAGGGAGCCUCGUGAGUGGGUUUCGUGGAUUUUGGUCAGAACUCUCAGGUUCCUGUCCACAGCUGCCCUCGGUGCCUCGUGGGGUGCACAGAGGCAGGUCCUCUGCUGAGCAUCCCAGUGGCAGUGAUGGCGCCUUGACUUCCUCAGUGUGAGGCUGCAUGGAGCGUUUGAUGAAAGCCGACCAGGCCCGUCCACAGCUGCCUCCUGCGCCCUGAGGCAGGGCGCCCGCACCAGAGUCUGAGAACAGAAGCCUUAACACCACGAGGAAGCCGUAAGAACCUCCGGCCUAUUCACUUGGAACCAGGAUUUCUCGAGUCCUGGGGACACGCAGAGGUGUUGGGGGGAGCAGAACUCACGCCCCUGGGUUGUCCUUGUGCUGACACAGGAGCUGCUGUGGCUGCUUGAAUCAGGACCAUAGAGCGAAAAAGCCAACUUAUUCAGAAAUUUGUGAAGAUUUGAGUGAAAGGAAGUGAAGGCAGAGAAGGUGUUCAGAGAAGAGUGAGCCACGCGAUCGAGCCGCAGAAGUGGAAGUACUGAGGAAGUGCGCCCGCCUGGUGCAGAGGAGAGUGGGCCACUGCGAACCCUUUGCUUUAAAUUAGCUUCCUUUCCUUUGUGGCCUUUGUCGUGGGCUCGCCAUGGGUUCUGCUGCUCUCCAGAGCUCGUAGCUCGGCCCUUUGUUCCUUAGACAAGACUAAACUGGUGCAGCUGGCUCUACAUGUCCAGAGAAGACUUGCCUGCCUUUAGCCCAGGUGGGCAGGUCUCCAGGCUUCCCAAGUUCACAUAAAUAAUUAGAACCCCCAGAACAGAAUCCAUGAGGGUCCCUGUGAGAACCCAUCUCAGCUGCUGACUGGCUCGUGUCCUCAAGUUCCCUGGUUAUGCCAACAGCUGCCGUGAGGAGAAGGAUGGAGAUGGAGAGAGAGCUCUUUCCAGAGCCUAAAAUGGCGGCAAAGACCACACAGGGGCCUCACCACCCCCUCACCUCUGUCUUGCAACACACAACUCAAUGUUUCCAGAUGUCCCAUGUUUGUGGUUUGUAGAUUCAGGACCUAGAAGCCAGAAAUCUUAUUUUCCACAUCCUUGGAAUGCCUUCUGCUGAACCUGGGACUCUCUCUUUGUUGGUUCUAAGACAGCGAUUUCAUGGCCCAAAAGAGGAAUGAGGGUGGCACGUGUUCUGUGUCUGUGCCCCAUGUGCCCUGAUGCUGUUUGAGAAGAUCCUACACGUUGUGGGGCUGGUGAAUUUUGAACUCUCAUGACCCAGAAGGCAGACUAUAUGUGUUUGUUUUUGUUCAAUUUUCCAAAUUUUGUAUACAGUUCCCACAAAUAAAACAUCGUGCUUUGAGAAUGUGAGGGCAUGAAAACAAAAGGAGUUUAACCAACAGCAGAACCUAAUAUUCUAGUCUCCUGGGCUGUUUCUUAGGAAGCCUGAAUUUUGUAUUACAAAAGGAUUCUGGGGCCCCAGAAUGUUACUAAAUUGAAAUUUUUGUCUCUUUUUUUUAUACUUGAAGUGUUAAAAAUAUUUAUGUGCAAAAUCUUUUUCCCUUUGUAAUCAGUAAGGGCAUGGGAACUCCUACAAGUGUUGACAACACAUGACCCCGAUUUAGCGCCCUCCUCACAGGUUGUGGCAAAGCUCGGGUUCGUUUCCUGGUUCAACCAUGUGAGAGAAGGGAACUGGAGAGUUGAGUUUUUUCAUCAGUUACACGUAUUGAUGACGGUGCACCCCUGAGACACACACACAAACUCACUAUAUUUACAAUAUUUGUGGGUUAAUGACCAGCAAUGUUUUUAAUGGGCCCCAUUCUUUCCUGGGACAUUUUCAUUCUCUGCUAGAGCAACCUCAGGAAACCACGCAUAAAUAUACAGAUAUUUCCUGUGUUUUGAUUUUUGGCACCACUAGUUUUUCGUGAGGACCUUACAGCCCCUACCUGUAGGCUGAUUCAAUCGUAGCAAUAAGAGGCAGGGGCGAGAUUUGGGCUGUCUAAGAAAGUACUCUAACAGGUAGAAUAUCGAAGCGCUCUCUGUUUUUGAAAGAAGGGAAAAGGUCAAGAAUGGGUAAAUAUGUUAAAGCAAAUGAAAUGAAAGCUUAAGUGGGUAGUUUGGGAUGAUCUGAGAAAAUGUUAUCUCUUAAAGAUGGGCAGAGACCUCACAAGCUGAACAUAUUCAAAUGAAAUAAUCUACUGAAUGAAAUUUAGCAAAAGUUUUUUGUUUGUUUAGCCGGAAGUAGGCUUCAUAGGUUUUCUACAGAUUUACAACAUGGGAAAAUUGUCAGGCAAAAGUGUCAGAAACGUUUGGACCAGCUUAGAGGUGGGGCGGUUAGUGGCAGGUACAGCUGGGGCAGUCAACUGAUUAAACAGUAAUCAGCGAGAU